CCCUUAGAUGUCCUGGGCCGCACGCGCGCUACACUGAUGCAUGCAACGAGUUUACAACCUUGGCUGGAAGGCCUGGGUAAUCUGUGAACGUGCAUCGUGAUAGGGAUAGAUUAUUGCAAUUAUUAAUCUUGAACGAGGAAUUCCUAGUAAACGCAAGUCAUCAGCUUGCAUUGAUUACGUCCCUGCCCUUUGUACACACCGCCCGUCGCACCUACCGAUCGAAGGUAAUGAUGAGCCCUCAGGAUUGGCGCUUGGAUCGGGCAACCGAACCUUGCACCGAGAAUCUGUGCAAAUCCCUACCUUUAGAGGAAGGUGAAGUCGUAACA
rnacentral:rRNA from 1 species